GAUGAAGAACGUAGCGAAAUGCGAUAAGUAAUGUGAAUUGCAGAAUUCAGUGAAUCAUCGAAUCUUUGAACGCACCUUGCACCCUUUGGCAUUCCGAAGGGUAUGCUCGUUUGAGUGUCAUUGUACUCUCACACUUCCAAUCUUUGGAUUGGGAGCAGUGGACUUGGGUGUUGCUGCUUACUGUGGCUCACCUCAAAUCGAUUCGUGCACCUCUUGGUUGGACAUAGUACGGCGUGAUAAGUGUCUUCGCCGGCACCUCAGUAGAGGGUGGCUGAUCAGGAGCUCUGUGCUUCAAACCGUCCUCGGACAAAAACUGACAACUUGACCUCAAAUCGAGUAGGACUACCCGCUGAACUUAAGCAUAUCAUAAGCGGAGGA
rnacentral:misc_RNA from 1 species